AACGAACGCUGGCGGCAGGCUUAACACAUGCAAGUCGAGCGCCCCGCAAGGGGAGCGGCAGACGGGUGAGUAACGCGUGGGAACGUACCUUUUGGUUCGGAACAACUCCGGGAAACUGGAGCUAAUACCGGAUAAGCCCUAACGGGGAAAGAUUUAUCGCCGAAAGAUCGGCCCGCGUCUGAUUAGCUAGUUGGUGAGGUAACGGCUCACCAAGGCGACGAUCAGUAGCUGGUCUGAGAGGAUGAUCAGCCACACUGGGACUGAGACACGGCCCAGACUCCUACGGGAGGCAGCAGUGGGGAAUAUUGGACAAUGGGCGCAAGCCUGAUCCAGCCAUGCCGCGUGAGUGAUGAAGGCCUUAGGGUUGUAAAGCUCUUUUGUCCGGGAAGAUGAUGACUGUACCGGAAGAAUAGGCCCCGGCUAGCUUCGUG
rnacentral:rRNA from 1 species